rnacentral:rRNA from 1 species
UACGGAGGAUCCAAGCGUUAUCCGGAUUUACUGGGUUUAAAGGGUGCGUAGGCGGAUUGAUAAGUCAGUGGUGAAAUCCAACAGCUUAACUGUUGAACUGCCAUUGAUACUGUUGGUCUUGAGUUUGGUUGAAGUGGCUGGAAUGUGUCAUGUAGCGGUGAAAUGCUUAGAUAUGACACAGAACACCGACUGCGAAGGCAGGUCACUAAGCCAAUACUGACGCUGAGGCACGAAAGCGUGGGGAUCAAACAGGAUUAGAUACCCUGGUAGUCCACGCCGUAAACGAUGAUUACUCGUUGUUGGCAAUACAUAGUCAGUGACAGAGCGAAAGCAUUAAGUAAUCCACCUGGGGAGUACGUUCGCAAGAAUGAA